GCAUAAACACUUCAACUAAACUAUCAAUUUAAACAAAAAUUUACUGUCAACUACAGACGCUGCAUCCAUGGAUUCCGCCAUGUUUCUCAUUGACACGGCCCCAACUCGGAAACUCGGGGGUUAAAGAAAAUUUCG